rnacentral:tRNA from 1 species
GGCGGACGUGGCCAAGUGGAUUAAGGCAGUGGAUUGUGAAUCA